rnacentral:rRNA from 1 species
AGUGAACGCUGGCGGUAGGCCUAACACAUGCAAGUCGAACGGCAGCACAGUAAGAGCUUGCUCUUACGGGUGGCGAGUGGCGGACGGGUGAGGAAUACAUCGGAAUCUACUUUUUCGUGGGGGAUAACGUAGGGAAACUUACGCUAAUACCGCAUACGACCUACGGGUGAAAGCAGGGGAUCUUCGGACCUUGCGCGAUUGAAUGAGCCGAUGUCGGAUUAGCUAGUUGGCUGGGUAAAGGCCCACCAAGGCGACGAUCCGUAGCUGGUCUGAGAGGAUGAUCAGCCACACUGGAACUGAGACACGGUCCAGACUCCUACGGGAGGCAGCAGUGGGGAAUAUUCGACAAUGGGCGAAAGCCUGAUCCAGCAAUACCGCGUGGGUGAAGAAGGCCUUCGGGUUGUAAAGCCCUUUUGUUGGGAAAGAAAAGCAGCAGGUUAAUACCCCGCUGUUCUGACGGUACCCAAAGAAUAAGCACCGGCUAACUUCGUG